ACAAGGUUUCCGUAGGUGAACCUGCGGAAGGAUCAUUACAGAGUUCAUGCCCGAAAGGGUAGACCUCCCACCCUUGUGUAUUAUUACUUUGUUGCUUUGGCGAGCUGCUCUUCGGGGCCUUGUAUGCUCGCCAGAGAAUAUCAAAACUCUUUUUAUUAAUGUCGUCUGAGUACUAUAUAAUAGUUAAAACUUUCAACAACGGAUCUCUUGGUUCUGGCAUCGAUGAAGAACGCAGCGAAAUGCGAUAAGUAAUGUGAAUUGCAGAAUUCAGUGAAUCAUCGAAUCUUUGAACGCACAUUGCGCCCCUUGGUAUUCCGGGGGGCAUGCCUGUUCGAGCGUCAUUUCAACCCUCAAGCUCAGCUUGGUAUUGAGUCCAUGUCAGUAAUGGCAGGCUCUAAAAUCAGUGGCGGCGCCGCUGGGUCCUGAACGUAGUAAUAUCUCUCGUUACAGGUUCUCGGUGUGCUUCUGCCAAAACCCAAAUUUUCUAUGGUUGACCUCGGAUCAGGUAGGGAUACCCGCUGAACUUAAGCAUUUAA
rnacentral:rRNA from 1 species